rnacentral:lncRNA from 1 species
GGGGCUAAGCCUGCAGCAUGGGAUAACUUCCCUAGGGAAGAGCCCAGGGAGGGGAUGAAGAAGAUCAGAGCCCAGCCUGUGGGAUGAUCUCCCCUGACCUCUUCAUCAACCUCUGCUCAUCUCUGGCCUCCAGAGAGCUCCUCUGCCACACCGCUCCCACCUCCACGGUCCAGCCUCACAGCCUUUGCCAGGCUCUGCCCCUACCCAGACGCUCUCCUCCCCGGACAAUAUCCCUACGUGGCCACCCGGCUCUGC